UGGAAACUNUCUGACUUGAGUGCAGAAGAGGAGAGUGGAAUUCCAUGUGUAGCGGUGAAAUGCGUAGAUAUAUGGAGGAACACCAGUGGCGAAAGCGGCUCUCUGGUCUGUCACUGACGCUGAGGCUCGAAAGCGUGGGUAGCGAACAGGAUUAGAUACCCUGGUAGUCCACNCCGUAAACGAUGAGUGCUAGGUGUUAGGCCCUUUCCGGGGCUUAGUGCCGGAGCUAACGCAAUAAGCACUCCGCCUGGGGAGUACGACCGCAAGGUUGAAACUCAAAGGAAUUGACGGGGGCCCGCACAAGCGGUGGAGCAUGUGGUUUAAUUCGAAGCAACGCGAAGAACCUUACCAGGUCUUGACACCCCGAUGCUAUUCUUAGAGAUAGGAAGUUACUUCGGUACAUCGGAGACAGGUGGUGCAUGGUUGUCGUCAGCUCGUGUCGUGAGAUGUUGGGUUAAGUCCCGCAACGAGCGCAACCCUUAUUGUUAGUUGCCAUCAUUAAGUUGGGCACUCUAGCGAGACUGCCGGUAAUAAACCGGAGGAAGGUGGGGAUGACGUCAAAUCAUCAUGCCCCUUAUGACCUGGGCUACACACGUGCUACAAUGGUCGGUACAACGAGUUGCGAGCCGGUGACGGCAAGCUAAUCUCUGAAGCCGAUCUCAGUUCGGAUUGGAGGCUGCAACUCGCCUCCAUGAAGUCGGAAUCGCUAGUAAUCGCGGAUCAGCACGCCGCGGUGAAUACGUUCCCGGGCCUUGUACACACCGCCCGUCACACCACGAGAGUUUGUAACACCCGAAGUCGGUGAGGUANCCUUUUAGGG
rnacentral:rRNA from 1 species